rnacentral:rRNA from 1 species
UCGAGCGGUAGCACAGAGAGCUUGCUCUCGGGUGACGAGCGGCGGACGGGUGAGUAAUGUCUGGGAAACUGCCUGAUGGAGGGGGAUAACUACUGGAAACGGUAGCUAAUACCGCAUAAUGUCGCAAGACCAAAGUGGGGGACCUUCGGGCCUCAUGCCAUCAGAUGUGCCCAGAUGGGAUUAGCUAGUAGGUGGGGUAACGGCUCACCUAGGCGACGAUCCCUAGCUGGUCUGAGAGGAUGACCAGCCACACUGGAACUGAGACACGGUCCAGACUCCUACGGGAGGCAGCAGUGGGGAAUAUUGCACAAUGGGCGCAAGCCUGAUGCAGCCAUGCCGCGUGUAUGAAGAAGGCCUUCGGGUUGUAAAGUACUUUCAGCGGGGAGGAAGGCGAUAAGGUUAAUAACCUUGUCGAUUGACGUUACCCGCAGAAGAAGCACCGGCUAACUCCGUGCCAGCAGCCGCGGUAAUACGGAGGGUGCAAGCGUUAAUCGGAAUUACUGGGCGUAAAGCGCACGCAGGCGGUCUGUCAAGUCGGAUGUGAAAUCCCCGGGCUCAACCUGGGAACUGCAUUCGAAACUGGCAGGCUAGAGUCUUGUAGAGGGGGGUAGAAUUCCAGGUGUAGCGGUGAAAUGCGUAGAGAUCUGGAGGAAUACCGGUGGCGAAGGCGGCCCCCUGGACAAAGACUGACGCUCAGGUGCGAAAGCGUGGGGAGCAAACAGGAUUAGAUACCCUGGUAGUCCACGCCGUAAACGAUGUCGAUUUGGAGGUUGUGCCCUUGAGGCGUGGCUUCCGGAGCUAACGCGUUAAAUCGACCGCCUGGGGAGUACGGCCGCAAGGUUAAAACUCAAAUGAAUUGACGGGGGCCCGCACAAGCGGUGGAGCAUGUGGUUUAAUUCGAUGCAACGCGAAGAACCUUACCUGGUCUUGACAUCCACAGAACUUGCCAGAGAUGGCUUGGUGCCUUCGGGAACUGUGAGACAGGUGCUGCAUGGCUGUCGUCAGCUCGUGUUGUGAAAUGUUGGGUUAAGUCCCGCAACGAGCGCAACCCUUAUCCUUUGUUGCCAGCGGUUAGGCCGGGAACUCAAAAGGAGACUGCCAGUGAUAAACUGGA